CUCGAUUCUUUUUUUUUUCCUUCUUUCUUCUUUUUCCCCCUAAAAGCCUCAAUUUCUUCUCAAAAGAUGUUGUCGUGGUGGCGUUUACA
rnacentral:ribozyme from 1 species